rnacentral:snRNA from 1 species
AUCACUUCUCAGCCUUUUGGCUAAGAUCAAGUGUAGGACAUGUUAUCAGUUUAGAGUAGAUAUAAUCAAUAAAUGACACUAUUAAUAAUUUUUUGUGGUCAUAGGACUAAACUCAUUUGGGCCAGGAAAUAAAUAAAGCAGUUAUAUUUUUGCAAUUCCU